UGGUCCCUACGGGACGCAGCAGUAGGGAAUUUUCGUCAAUGGGCGCAAGCCUGAACGAGCAAUGCCGCGUGAACGAGGAAGGUCUUCGGAUCGUAAAGUUCUGUUGAAGGGGAAAAAGAGCGGAGAGAGGAAGUGAACUCCGAUUGAUAUUACCCUUCGAGGAAGUCACGGCUAACUACGUGCCAGCAGCCGCGGUAAUACGUAGGUGGCGAGCGUUAUCCGGAAUGAUUGGGCGUAAAGGGUGCGUAGGCGGCCUGCUAAGUCUGGAGUGAAAGGUACCGGCUCAACCGGUACAGGCUCUGGAA
rnacentral:rRNA from 1 species